rnacentral:miRNA from 10 species
GUAGCAGUGUUCUAGAAUCCUUUCUGAGGGACAAACAUUCAGACCCUCGAAGCUGUGUUCUGGAAUCCUAUGUGAGGG